rfam:Camelus ferus unplaced genomic scaffold scaffold351, whole genome shotgun sequence.
GAGGGUAUAGCUCAGUGGUAGAGCGUGUGCUUGGCCUGCACAAGGUUCUGGGUUCGAUCCCCAGUACCCGCA